rnacentral:tRNA from 1 species
GCGCCCAUAGCUCAGACGGAUAGAGCAGGAGCCUUCUAAGCUCUUGGCCGGGGGUUCGAUUCCCUCUGGGCGCGCCA